ACUCCUACGGGAGGCAGCAGUAGGGAAUCUUCCACAAUGGGCGCAAGCCUGAUGGAGCAACACCGCGUGAGUGAAGAAGGGUUUCGGCUCGUAAAGCUCUGUUGUUAAAGAAGAACACGUAUGAGAGUAACUGUUCAUACGUUGACGGUAUUUAACCAGAAAGUCACGGCUAACUACGUGCCAGCAGCCGCGGUAAUACGUAGGUGGCAAGCGUUAUCCGGAUUUAUUGGGCGUAAAGGGAGUGCAGGCGGUUUUCUAAGUCUGAUGUGAAAGCCUUCGGCUUAACCGGAGAAGUGCAUCGGAAACUGGAUAACUUGAGUGCAGAAGAGGGUAAGUGGAACUCCAUGUGUAGCGGUGGAAUGCGUAGAUAUAUGGAAGAACACCAGUGGCGAAGGCGGCUACCUGGUCUGCAACUGACGCUGAGACUCGAAAGCAUGGGUAGCGAACAGGAUUAGAUACCCCUGGUAGGAUAGCG
rnacentral:rRNA from 1 species